rnacentral:sRNA from 1 species
UGUUAGCCCCGAUAGUAAAGAAAAUCUCGCCUUUUUCGGCGAGAUUGUAAUGUAUAGCGGGAAAAAGG